rnacentral:rRNA from 1 species
AUGAACGCUGGCGGCGUGCCUAAUACCUGCCAGUCGAGCGAACAGACGAGGAGCUUGCUCCUCUGACGUUAGCGGCGGACGGGUGAGUAACACGUGGAUAACCUACCUAUAAGACUGGGAUAACUUCGGGAAACCGGAGCUAAUACCGGAUAAUAUAUUGAACCGCAUGGUUCAAUAGUGAAAGACGGUUUUGCUGUCACUUAUAGAUGGAUCCGCACCGCAUUAGCUAGUUGGUAAGGUAACGGCUUACCAAGGCGACGAUGCGUAGCCGACCUGAGAGGGUGAUCGGCCACACUGGAACUGAGACACGGUCCAGACUCCUACGGGAGGCAGCAGUAGGGAAUCUUCCGCAAUGGGCGAAAGCCUGACGGAGCAACGCCGCGUGAGUGAUGAAGGUCUUCGGAUCGUAAAACUCUGUUAUUAGGGAAGAACAAAUGUGUAAGUAACUAUGCACGUCUUGACGGUACCUAAUCAGAAAGCCACGGCUAACUACGUG